GGAGUUAGCCGGUGCUUCUUCUGUGAGUGAUGUCCUUCCUGCCGGUUAUUGACCCGCAGGCCUUCUUCCUCACUGAAAGUGCUUUACAACCCGAAGGCCUUCUUCACACACGCGGCAUGGCUGGAUCAGGGUUGCCCCCAUUGUCCAAUAUUCCCCACUGCUGCCUCCCGUAGGAGUCUGGGCCGUGUCUCAGUCCCAGUGUGGCUGAUCAUCCUCUCAGACCAGCUACGGAUCGUCGCCUUGGUGAGCCGUUACCUCACCAACCAGCUAAUCCGACAUAGGCUCAUCCGAUAGCGCGAGGCCCGAAGGUCCCCCGCUUUCCCCCGUAGGGCGUAUGCGGUAUUAGCCUGGGUUUCCCCAGGUUAUCCCCCACUACCGGGCAGAUUCCUAUGCAUUACUCACCCGUCCGCCGCUCGACACCAGGGAGCAAGCUCCCCGUGCUGCCGCUCGACUUGCAUGUGUUAGGCCUGCCGCCAGCGUUCAAUCUGAGCCAGAAUCAAACUCUGA
rnacentral:rRNA from 1 species